AAUCAACGCUGGCGGCGUGCCUAACACAUGCAAGUCGAGCGAGAGGGAGUAGCAAUACUCUAGUAAAGCGGCGCACGGGUGAGUAACACGUGGGUAAUCUGCCUCGAAGUGGGGAAUAACACCGGGAAACCGGUGCUAAUACCGCAUAAUCUGACGGGAUCUGCGGAUUUUGUCAGCAAAGGAGCAAUUCGCUUUGAGAGGAGCCCGCGGCUGAUUAGCUAGUUGGUGAGGUAAUGGCUCACCAAGGCCACGAUCAGUAGCCGGUCUGAGAGGACGGUCGGCCACACUGGAACUGAGACACGGUCCAGACUCCUACGGGAGGCAGCAGUGGGGAAUUUUUCGCAAUGGGGGCAACCCUGACGAAGCAACGCCGCGUGGAUGAUGAAGUCUCUUGGGACGUAAAAUCCUUUCGAUGGGGACGAAACCGCAAGGUUGACGGUACCCGUAGAAGAAGCCCCGGCUAACUCCGUGCCAGCAGCCGCCGUAACAC
rnacentral:rRNA from 1 species